UUUCGUUUCGCAUCGUUCGAAUUAUGCGUGCGACGCGAUUACACACAGAAACUUUCUUCCUUUUUUCUUGCUUGUCUCGCGAUCGAAUCGUGAGAUAUGAAAAAAAUAAUCGAUCCGACCUAUUACGUUUCAAUAUAGUUAAAAUAAUCACACAGCUGUAAGAUAAAAGAGAAAGAAAAGAAGAAAGAGUGUGUGAAAAAUUGAACGAGGAACGUUCUGUUCCUAUGACAUGUAUAUUGCUGUCUAUCCACCCGAUCGUUCGGGUGGUUCGUAUACGGUACACGGUAUACAAUACACAAUUACGAUUAUUGCGUGGCAAGUAACGCAUCUGUAUCGUACACGUAUGCUUCAAGUAUAUACAUCGGUGCUUCUCUAUUGAUGUACAUGUGAAACAUUGCUCUUCGAAUAACGAACACAUUGCUUUACAGAAAGAGGCGUCACUCUAUUCUACGUCGUAAUGAGACUGUAUGGUUUUACAUAGCAGUUAAGCGUCGAUAAAAAAUAAUCCAAGUAAAAAUACAGAUUCGAACGAUUCGUGAUAACGAACGAAAACUUAAGAAAAAAAUAAAAGAGAAAAAAAAGAAGGAAAGAAAGAGAAGAAGUAGUAAGCGGUGAGAAAAGAAAGAUAAAAAGAAAGAACGAGACAACAGAACAGAACAGAACAAAACGGAUAAAAUACGAAAUUAGAAUAUGUGGACCAUGGUAUUAUGGUAUGUAGCAACGUACCUCACUACUGGGUGCUUGGGAGGUACGGAUGGGUCCAUGGGGCUGAAAUAACAAAACAAAGCAUUCCAGGGCAAGAUAAAUAGAAACGAAGGUUAAUUAAGCGCUUGUUACUCGUCUACGAUGGUCGUACUUGUUGUCAAUGGUACAAAAAUACGUCCACGUAUUUUCUGUCUCAAAUGUUCGAGGAUCUACGGUUCGAACUAAAGCUAAUUGCACGCAACGCUUUUAACAAAAACGAUAUAUCAUACAACGCACACGUAGAAUAAUUUAAUUGCUUUUGAAUAGAGGAUUCAGAAAUAAAUUGAUACAACACAUGUAUAAGGCAGUUUUAACAUAUUUAUUAAUAUGAAAUUAUUACUAUUA